rnacentral:misc_RNA from 1 species
UUCUUGCGUGAGUGAUGGUAGCGGUAGCCCACAGCCUGACGAAGGAAGUGCGAGGACUACAAGCGAACAGCACGACCCUUG